rnacentral:rRNA from 1 species
UACGUAGGGUGCGAGCGUUGUCCGGAUUUAUUGGGCGUAAAGAGCUCGUAGGCGGCUUGUCGCGUCGGUUGUGAAAGCUCAGGGCUUAACCCUGGGUCUGCAGUCGAUACGGGCAGGCUAGAGUUCGGUAGGGGAGACUGGAAUUCCUGGUGUAGCGGUGAAAUGCGCAGAUAUCAGGAGGAACACCGGUGGCGAAGGCGGGUCUCUGGGCCGAUACUGACGCUGAGGAGCGAAAGCGUGGGGAGCGAACAGG